AGACCCGAAACCCGGUGAUCUAGCCAUGGGCAGGUUGAAGGUUGGGUAACACUAACUGGAGGACCGAACCGACUAAUGUUGAAAAAUUAGCGGAUGACCUGUGGCUGGGGGUGAAAGGCCAAUCAAACCGGGAGAUAGCUGGUUCUCCCCGAAAGCUAUUUAGGUAGCGCCUCGUGAAUUCAUCUCCGGGGGUAGAGCACUGUUUCGGCUAGGGGGCCAUCCCGGCUUACCAACCCGAUGCAAACUGCGAAUACCGGAGAAUGUUAUCACGGGAGACACACGGCGGGUGCUAACGUCCGUCGUGAAGAGGGAAACAACCCAGACCGCCAGCUAAGGUCCCAAAGUCAUGGUUAAGUGGGAAACGAUGUGGGAAGGCCCAGACAGCCAGGAUGUUGGCUUAGAAGCAGCCAUCAUUUAAAGAAAGCGUAAUAGCUCACUGGUCGAGUCGGCCUGCGCGGAAGAUGUAACGGGGCUAAACCAUGCACCGAAGCUGCGGCAGCGAACGUAUCACCCAAGACAACUUUACGGAGUUGACGAUUGACGGAGCGAAGCGACGUCAAAGCGUUCAUUAAAGUCGAGUUGGCUUAGGGAUACGUUCGUUGGGUAGGGGAGCGUUCUGUAAGCCUGUGAAGGUGUGUCGUGAGGCAUGC
rnacentral:rRNA from 3 species